AAGUCGAACGCAGCAGCUUCGGCUGGCUGCGUGGCGAACGGCUGAGGAACACGUGGGUGACCUGCCCCAGAGUGGGGGAUACCCCGUCGAAAGACGGGAUAAUCCCGCAUACGCUCUACGGAGGAAAGCCCCUACGGGCGCUCUGGGAGGGGCCUGCGGCCCAUCAGGUUGUUGGUGAGGUAACGGCGCACCAAGCCACUGACGGGUACCCGGUCUGAGAGGACGGCCGGGCAGACUGGGACUGCGACACGGCCCAGACUCCUACGGGAGGCAGCAGCAAGGAAUUUUCCCCAAUGGGCGCAAGCCUGAGGGAGCAACGCCGCGUGGAGGACGACGGCCUUCGGGUUGUAAACUCCUUUCGGGUGGGACGAC
rnacentral:rRNA from 1 species